rnacentral:rRNA from 1 species
AUGCCUAGCUUGCCAAUACUUUUUGUUUACUACUUUCAGGUCCAUAUAUCGACUGUUGGCCAUGACGAGAUGAGGGUGACAUGGAUCACUGAAGACGAUGCACCGGCAGUCGUGGAGUACGGCACGACCUCAGGCCAGUACCCAUUCUCAGCGACAGGAACCACCACGAGCUACUCGUACCUAGCCCUCUACCACUCGGGGAACAUCCACGACGCCGUCGUCGGCCCACUGAAACCCAGCACCACGUACUACUACCGGUGCAGCUCCGACCCGUCGCGCGAGUUCUCCUUCCGGACGCCGCCGGCCAGCCUCCCCUUCACCUUCGUCAUCGUCGGUGACCUCGGACAGACCGGCUGGACCAAGAGCACGCUGCAGCACAUCGCGGCCACCGACUACGACAUGCUCCUCCUCCCCGGCGACCUGUCGUACGCCGAUUUCCUCCAGCCGCGCUGGGACUCGUACGGCCGGCUCGUCGAGCCGCUGGCUAGCGCGCGGCCGUGGAUGGUGACCGAGGGCAACCACGAGAUCGAGAGGAUCCCGCUCCUCGAGCCGCGUGCCUUCAAGGCCUACAACGCGCGGUGGCGCAUGCCGUACGACGCCGGCGACUCCCCGUCGGGGUCGAACCUCUACUACUCCUUUGACGUCGCGGGCGGCAUGGUGCAUGUCAUCAUGCUAGGCUCGUACACGGGCUUCGAGGCCGGCACGGCGCAGCACGAGUGGCUGCGGGGCGACCUCGCCAGGAUCGACCGCGGCAAGACGCCGUUCGUGGUGGCGCUGGUGCACGCGCCGUGGUACAACAGCAACGAGGCGCACCAGGGGGAAGGCGACGACAUGCGGGACGCCAUGGAGGCGCUGCUCCGCGCGGCGCGCGUGGACGCGGUGUUCGCGGGCCACGUGCACGCGUACGAGAGGUUCACGCGCGUCUACGGCGGCAUGGAGGACCAGUGCGGGCCGGUGUACGUGACCAUCGGAGACGGCGGGAACCGGGAAGGGUUGGCAGACGAGUAUAUCGACCCACAGCCCAAGACGUCGGUGUUCCGGGAAGCGAGCUUCGGCCACGGCAGGCUGCAGGUGGUGAAUGCGACACACGACGACGACCAGCCGGUGGUGGCCGACCAGGUGUGGAUCGCCAGUCUCGCUUCUAACCCGGAUUGUAACAAUCCAGCGGGAACGGGGGCUCAGGCCUGA